GGAAAUUUUCGGUAGUAGAUGAGAUACCUAAAAUACUUCCCAAAUUUAGCUCUGAUACCAAAAUCUGAUGACUUACACCAAGCCAAAAAAAUUGUCGAGAGGAAAGGGUUACAUGUGAUUAGCCCUACAGAAUUUGAACGGACAAUCGUAAAUGACUCAAUCGUAUUUGCUGUGAUUGUUAUGGAAGUCCCGUUCGAUUCCCCAAUAGCGACCCCUACUGAAGCGCAAUCACUCCUUCAGGAAUUUAAGGAUGUAUUUCCUGACGACCUCCUUGAUCUAUUACCUCCCUUACGGGAUAUUCAACAUGCUAUAGAUCUGGUUCCAGGUUCGUCUCUCCCAAACUUGCCUCACUAUAGAAUGAAUCCUGCUGAACAUGCCGAGCUCCAAAGACAAGUGGGUGAACUCCUUCACAAAGGCUUCAUCCGUGAAAGUUUAAGCCCUUGUACAGUGCCCGCCCUUCUAACACCUAAGAAGGAUGAUUCUUGGAGGAUGUGCGUUGAUAGUCGCGCUAUCAAUAAAAUCACUGUCAAGUAUCGUUUACCCAUCCCUCGACUUGAUGAUAUGCUAGAUAUGAUGGCCGGUGCCACGAUCUUUUCCAAAAUCGAUUUGAAGAGUGAGUAUCAUCGGAUUCGAAUCCGCCCAGGAGACGAGUGGAAAACUGCAUUUAAAAUGAAAGAUGGCCUAUACGAGUGGUUGGUAAUGCCUUUUGGCCUAACCAAUGUUCCAAGUACUUUUAUGAGGGUGAUGACACAGGCCCUUCGGCCUUUCAUGGGCAAAUUCAUUGUCGUAUACUUUGAUGACAUCCUCGUGUACAGCAAAACAAGGGAACAACAUCGAGAUCAUCUCACGCAAGUUUGCUCUACAUUGCGUGCAACAAGCUUGUAUGCCAAUGUGAAGAAAUGUUCUUUCUUCACGGAUACAAUUGUGUUUCUCGGAUUUGUUGUUUCCACUACGGGAGUAUCUGCUGAUCCUGCAAAGAUUCGGGCAAUUAUUGAGUGGCCAGAUCCCAAGAAUAGACAUGAUGUAAGGAGUUUUCAUGGUUUAGCUACCUUUUAUCGUCGUUUCAUUAAGGGAUUUAGUAUGAUCAUGGCUCCUAUCACAGAGUGUAUGAAGAGAGGAGAAUUUCAUUGGACGCAGGAAGCGGCUAAGGCCUUUCAGUUAAUCAAAAGGCGAAUGAUAGAGGCUCCUGUCAUGCGACUUCCAGAUUUUUCCAAAGUUUUUGAGGUCGAAUGUGAUGCGUCAGGGGUAGGAAUAUGUGGAGUCUUGAGUUAAGAACGCCAUCCUAUUGCUUAUUUUAGUGAGAAAUUAAAUGAUGCCAAGCAACGGUACUCAACUUAUGAUAAGGAGUUGUACGCAGUUGUACAAGCCUUGCGUUAUUGGCGUCAUUACUUAUUACUCCAUGAAUUUGUCCUCUUUUCUGACCACGAGGCCCUUUGUUUCCUUAAUUCCCAGAGACGAUUGAAUUCUCGGCAUGGCCGCUGGAUCGAAUAUUUGCAAGCCUAUUCUUUUGUCUUAAAGCAUAAGAAGGGUGUUGAAAAUCGAGCUCUGACGCUUUAAGUCGUCGCAUCUCCUUGUUGUCCGUCAUGAGUGUUAAGGUUCUAGGGUUUGAAAGACUUAAGGAAGAGUACGAGUUCUGUCCCGAUUUCAGGGACAUUUUUCUUGCUUUGCAAAAUAGGGAGUUGGACACCACUGAUGGUUUCCGUUUUGAGGAGGGUUAUCUUUUUAGAUCCAAUAAGUUGUGCAUCUCAAGGACUUUAGUGCGAGACUUUAUAGUGUGGGAAAGUCAUGCUGGUGGGUUGGCUAGACAUUUUGGGCGUGAUAAGACCAUAGAGAAAAUUGAACGUCAAUUCUAUUGGCCCAGUUUAAAGACCGACGUAGCCAAGAUUGUCGGCACAUGUAACACCUGUCAACGAUCUAAGCACAAAAGAUAGAACACAGGCCUCUACACUCCUCUCCCCGUCCCUAGUUGUCCUUGGCAAGACGUUAGUAUGGAUUUCGUGCUAGGGUUGCCACGUACUCCAAAGAAACACGACUCCAUUUUUGUUGUCGUAGAUCGCUUCUCGAAAAUGGCACACUUUAUUUCCUGUGGCAAGACUUCCGAUGCAUCUAAGGUUGCUAAGUUUUACUUCCAUGAGAUCGUCAAACUGUAAGGCCUCCUUAAGACCAUUGUCUCGAAUAGGGAUGUUCGUUUCACUAGCCAUUUUUGGCGAAUCCUAUGGAGUAUGGUUGGCACUAAACUGAAAUUCUCUACUGUAUAUCACCCACAAACGGACAGUCAAGCUGAGGUUGUUAACCGCAGUCUUGGUAAUCUAUUAAGAUGUCUAGUCCUGAAAAAUCUUAGGAAUUGGGACUUAAUUCUUCCUACUGCCCAACUUGCAUAUAACAGUUCAGUGAAUCGGUCUAUAGGUAUGAGUCCCUUUGAGGUUGUUCAUGGUUUUAAGUCUAGGAAGCUGUUAGACCUUAUUCCUAUGUCUCCACAUGCUAGUGUGUCUCUGUCAACUGAGUCUUUUGCACAACAUCUGCGUGACUUGCAUAUUGAGAUCAAUAAACAGUUAGAAACGAGUAAUGCAUUAUAUAAACUUCGAGCUGAUUUGCACAAACGCCAUGUUGAAUUUAAUGUUGGGGAUUAUAUUAUGAUUCGAAUUAGACCGGAAUGGCGUCCAUCUGGGCCUGCUUCCAAAUUGCAAGCUCGUAGUACUGGUCCUUUUAAAAUUUUAAAGCGUGUUGGUUCAAAUGCUUAUGUUAUUCACUUACCAUCACAUUUUGGCUACCACCCUACCUUUAAUGUUGAAGACUUAGUUGCUUACAAAGGCCAAUUUUACCCCGCUGAUGAUCCUUUCACACCUCCAUCUCUGGACCCUCAUCCUGAACAUGUUAUCCCUGCCCCAAUUCCACUUGCUGCAGUAUAUAAAGAUAAAAUUGAUGCUAUUCUAGAUGCACAGACUAUAUUAACCAAGGAUGAAGACAUUCAGCGCUUCCUUGUUCGUUGGGAGGGUCGUCCUGUUUCAGAUUGUACUUGAAUCCCCAAAGAGACACUUCAACAGCUUGAUCCUGAUUUGUUGGAGCAUUAUAGGAGUCAACAAGAUCUUCCUCUACCUGGACCACCACCCUUGCGUGUCUAUAGACGUUGAAAGAAGUUUGCUCAACCGUUCAGUUUGUGGCUAGGAGAUUGACAGCAGCCUUUUGUGAUCUACCUCCUUGAUGGGGUCAAGUUUUUUCUCCCACCCCAGGAGAGUUGAUGCGGACAUCAUCCCCAUUUUAGCUUUUAGUUAUUUAUUUUGGGUUUAUGUCUUUUAGUUAUUUAUUUUGGGCUUAUGUCACAUUGAGCUUGUAUAUGGGUUUGGCCCAAAUCCAAGUUAUUAUUUUGUUAUUCAUGUUAUUGUAAUUGGGAUUAAAAGUCAGUUGAUGAAUGAAUUGAAUUAAGAUUGGCA
rnacentral:lncRNA from 1 species